CUGAACAACUCUCAGCAACGGAUAUCUCGGCUCUUGCAUCGAUGAAGAACGCAGCGAAAUGCGAUAAGUGGUGUGAAUUGCAGGAUCCCGUGAACCAUCGAGUCUUUGAACGCAAGUUGCGCCCGAGGCCAUCAGGCCAAGGGCACGCCUGCCUGGGCAUUGCGAGUC
rnacentral:rRNA from 1 species